rnacentral:rRNA from 1 species
UACUUGACUGGACUAUUGGCUUUGAAUUGUAUUGUGGAAAUGUAUUACCCAGUGCAGGUGCCAGCCUAUUGAAAUAAAGCGUCAAUGAGGGUGAGAAUCCUGUUUGUCAUGUGCAGCCCUUUGUGCACGGUGUAUAUUUGCUGAGUCACACUCCUUGGCAUUGGAAUGCAAAGUGGGUGGUAAGUUUCAUGUAAAGGUAAACAUGCAAUUGAGACUGAUAGCACACAAGUACCAUGAGGGAAAUAUGAAAAGGACUUUGAAAAGAAUUAAAUGAGUUUGUAUUUGCUGAACACAAAGUAAACAGACUUGAUUUGCUUGGUGGGAGUGUUGCACUUGCUUGACAAGAGCUUUGGGCUGUGGGUGUAAUGAUUCUUUCUUUGCAUGCCAGUUUCUAUUUGUACAUCUGAUUACCUUUGCACAUGAAUGAUAAGUCUCCUGUGGGGGGUGGAUUGCAUGUGCAUGUAAUGAUUUGUGUUUUGAUAAAUGUGUCUGGUGUAUGUGUGUGUUCCUGUGCUUGGGGAUGCUUCCUUCCUUGGACUUACAAGCCCUGACACACACAUGCUGGCAAAAUGCUUCUGCUUGACCCGUCUUGAAACACGGACCAAGGAGUCUAACAGAUGUGCACGUUAGUGGUAUACCUUUGUGUGCAUGGUGUCGCGGGAUAUGUGCACGCACCCAAUAAUUAGACAGAGGUUGAUAUCUAUUAGGACCCGAAAUGGUGAACUUGCUGAACAG